CCUGUGGAGCCUACAGUCAGAAAAAUCCUCUACACACCAAGAAGGCUGGCAGAGGAGCAGUUGAUCCACAGUGGGAGCCCAGAGAGGGAAGGGUGGUUGAUCAAAGUGGUGCCUCCCAAACAGACUGUCCUGUCUCCAGUGAAGCAGAGGAGAAGUGCAGUUGGUGAGCAGUGUUAAAAACCAGGUCCCAACCAGACGAACCAGAUACUCCUCGAUGUCUGAGUCCUCUCAUGAUCCUGCAAUGAUACUUUUUCAGCACAGAAGCAGAAAUGCUGAUACAGCACGAGAGGGGCUCCACACGCAGCUGAUGGAUCUUCUGGAAGCAUUACAAGGCCUCUUCCAUCAGUUUUCCCCACCUUUUGUCUUGGAGGAGAGGCAGAAUAUUUAAAGGAGAGCUUAGAAAGCCUGUAAGUUGAAAUCCAUUGACAGUAUUUACAUCACUUGAUCCAUAGAACCCACAAGAGCUCCCAAAACCAGUCCCAACCCUCAGGCUGAGAAAGCCGGACAUCCCAACCCAAAAAGUAUUUCCACUGUUGAGUUCCUUUGUGAAACUCAUUUAUCUCUUAAUUUCUGUUUCUAUUGCUCAUGGACUAUUUUGAAUUUUCCUGAUUCCAGUACACUCACGUUGCAAAACUAAAUAACAGCCUCUGAAUGUAUCCCAUGGGACUUGUCCCAGG
rnacentral:lncRNA from 1 species